CGGAGCUUCCCUCCAGGGUAGAAAGUUUCAGCUCAGAGGAUAUUGCCGCAACAAGAAGAUGACCUGGAGGCUCUCAAGGAAUAAGAUGCAGGCUCUACCCUCAUCUGGGUGGCAGAUGGUCACAGUGAAAGCUGUGGUUUUGCAUCAACAAUCCAGACUUCUGAAUGCCUCCUUCAAGUGUAGCCUGGGGCAAUGGUUGCUUCAUGGGAACUGUGAAGAUGAAGACUUGAAAAUAUACCUGUGAUGGAUACAUCUGGGAGGCCUAGGAGUCAGCAAGAGUCUAUGCAGCAUGAGGGCCCAAGUUUCCCACCACCAGCAGCUGGGCCCCAGAGCAUCUAGUCCUAACGUGGUUGUGGAAUAGACAAAAAUAUCUAGCCCUUCCUGGAAGAGUCAAGUGUGGGAGGCAGCUGGAACAGGAAGGCCUGGGAACUAUAACCUGGGGGCUCAGACCACACCCAAGAAGGCCUUUCCCAAGACCAGCCUUUCCAUUAAUGUUUUCUCAGCACAGACAAUCUACACUGGAUAUGGUGGUUACCAUAGACCUGGCAAGCAGCUAUCAUGGUAGUUCUGUAUGUACAAGCUAGUCUGGCUUCUCUCAGACCCCUUAUCCUACUUUAGGAAAGACAGUAUGUCCAUUUGGUAAGCUUGACUCAAGGCUCCACCCCUCCAAAAGGAUGACAUAAUCUGGCAGAAAUACGGCUUCCAGAAAUAGCCCCAUAGGCAGAGUGGCUCACCACCCGCCCCGCUUAGGAACUGUUAUCCCAGGAGCUGUAUGGGCAUUCAGGUCACAGCCAGGAGCUUAUUCCCAUAACCUUCUCAGGAGAUAUUUAAGCUAGGUGUUGAAGAACAAAUAGAAAAUUUCCGGAUAUAGAGGCAUACAAGUGGUACUGGGAAAGGCUGAGGAGCCUGCAGCUGAGGAAAUGCCCUGUAGAAAGAGAAUACAAGAGACUACCUCCCAACUUUCUCCUCCCUGUCUUGAUGAAAAGGAAGUACCAAGACAAGACAAAACAAGAUGGGUGUGCUGGCUAGUUUUAUGCCAACUUGAUACAAGCUAAAUUAUCUGAGAGCAGAGGACUUCAAUUGAGAAAAUGCCUCCAUAAGAUCCAGAUGUAAGGCAUUUUCUUAAUUAGUGAUUGAUGGGGGAAGGUCCAGCCCAUUGUGAGUGGUGCCAUGUCUGGGAUGGUGGUCUUGGAUUCUAUAAGAAAGCAGGUUAAGCAAGCCAUGGGGAGAGAGCAAGCCAGUAAGCAGCACUCUUCCACGGCCUCCGCAUCAGCUCUUGCCUCCAGGUUCCUGCCUUGUUCAAAUUCCUGUCCUGACUUCCUUCAAUGAUGGACUGCAACAUAAGCCAAAUAAACCUUUUGCUCUCCAACUUGCUUUUAGUCAUGGCAUUUCAUCUAAGCAACAGAAGCUCCAAUUAAGACAAAGGGAAUCCCAUGUUGGGAUAUCCCGACUUUUCCUUUGGAUUUGAUGGACAUCUUGCUUCCUCCUGCUAACCAGUUACCCUGAAAUCAAGUUUCCAUAGUCAUGAGACCAGUGAUAGAAAAGCCAUUUGUGUGCAUUGUGUUUUGUUUUUAAUUUUUAAAAUUGGGUUGGAGAGAUAGCUCAGUGGUUAAGGACACUGGCUGUUCUUCCAGGGGACCUUGGUUUGGUUCCCAGCAUUUACAUGGUGGCUCACAACCAUCCGUUAUGAGAUCUGGUGCCCUCUUCUGGUGUGAAGAUAUACAUGGAAGCAGAAUGUUGUAUACAUAAUAAAUAAGAAAAAUCUUAAAAAAAAAAUAAGAAUAAAAAUGGAAGCUCAGUGGCUGGAGAGAAGGCUCAGAGGUUAAGAGCACUGGCUGCUCUUCUAAAGGUCCUAAAUUCAACUUCCAGUAACCACAUGGUAGAUCACAACCAUCUGUAACGAGAGCUGGUGCCCUUUUCUGGCCUGCAGGCAUACAUUGCAGACAGAAGACUUUAUACAUAAUAAAAAUAAAUAAAUCCUUUUUAAAAAUGGAGGCUGGGUCUGGGUGGUGGUGGUAGUGCAUGUCUUUAAUCCCAGCACUCAGGAGGCAGAGGCAGGCUAAUCUAUGUGAGUUUGAGGCCAGCCUGGUCUACAGAGUGAGUUUCAGGACAGCCAAAGAUACGUAGAGAAGCCCUGUCUCACUCAAAAAAUCACCCCCUCCCAUCAAAUGGAGGCUGGGGUGAUGUCUCAGUCAGUAAAACACUGGCUAUACAAGCAUGAGAACCUACAUUCAACCACCAGAACCUAGAUUUAAAAAGCCAAGCAUGGUGGUUUGUGCUUGUAAUAUUAGUGCUUUGGAGGCAGAGACAGGUGAAUCCCUGGCCAGAGAGCCCCACAUCAGUGAAAGACCUUUUAUAAAACACACACACACACACACACACACACACACACACACACACACACACACACACACACAUACCACAACAAAACAAGGAACAAUGCUGUUUUUUACCUUUGGCCUCCACAUUCACAUGGGUAUAUGAGCACAUACACCUGUAUACAUGCACACAUGCCAGCACACACAAUGGAAACAAGGUCUUUCUGUGUCCGGGAUUCACUUGAAACUAUGUUGCUGAGCUGGCUGCACACUUGUAGCAGUGCUCUGGUCUCUACUUCCCAAAUGCUGGGGUUGCAGGUGUGCACUUCAUGGCCUGGCCUUGUAUUUUGUUUUAAAGCAGGGCACGUUGCUGCUGCCAACAAGAGAUGUUUUUUUUAGGAAGGAGGAUGUCAUGCCUACUGUCUUUACAAUAAGUGCCAGACUCCUGUGCACACAAGUGCACCUGGCUGAAUGAUGUAUGGAAAUGAUGUAUGGACAAAACAUGCUGUGCUGACCCAGCAACUGCAAGCAUAAGAAAGGGGAGUAGUGCAAGGGAUGAAUGUGUUUCCUUUGAGAAAACUGAAGAGAGCUGCUAGUAUCUGUGUGUUGCAGAAUGUUUGUUUAACUAUGUAAAGAUGUGUUGCAGAAUAUUUAACUAUGUAAAGAUGUGUUGCAUUUGUUUAACUAUGUAAAGAUGUGUUGCAUUUGUUUAAUUAUUCAAAGAUGUGUUGAAUUUAUUUAACUAUGCAAAGAUGUGUUGC
ensembl:lncRNA